rnacentral:lncRNA from 1 species
GUUACAUUCUCCAGAGAAUAUGCAAGCCCUGCUCUCUGUUCUUCACAUUGUCCUCUUUGAAUCAGCUCUGAUCAGCUGGUCUGGAUCUUGACUGGGUUCUGGACAGCAAUUUCUGCAUAUUUUAGGCCCAUCCAUUUCAUGUGAGAAGUGUGGACUAGAUACUCAGAGAGGCGCUCUUUCAUUCUUCAAGUUCAUGAAGCUCUCAGCCAUGGACCAUCAUCAUUUACAGUUCAUCUGUAUCCUCUCAAAGAGCACUGCCACUUGAACAUUGACUAAAAACUUCUACUCCCAGUUAAUUGAGAUACAAGGACUUCUUUGAAGUUGCUGUUGACCCCUUCUACUCCUACUUCCAGAGGUGUAGAGCAGCCAAGCAACUGUAAAAGAAGAUGAAAAUUUGAGCUUAUAACUUUUUGCCACAAUAGAUGAGAGGGUACAUGAAGUAUCUCCUGACUAUGCCCUCAUUUGUGAUGUUCAAUGAAUAUGGAUUAGCAAUUAACCAUGGCUACACUCAAAGG